rnacentral:rRNA from 1 species
UACGGAGGGUGCUAGCGUUGUUCGGAAUCACUGGGCGUAAAGGGCGUGUAGGCGGUCUGUUAAGUCUGAUGUGAAAUCCCCUCGCUCAACGAGGGAACUGCGUCGGAUACUGGCAGACUCGAGUACCGGAGAGGAAGGUGGAAUUCCCGGUGUAGCGGUGAAAUGCGUAGAUAUCUGGAGGAACACCGGUGGCGAAGGCGGCAUCCUGGACCGGUAUUGACGCUGAGGCGCGAAAGCUAGGGGAGCAAACGGG